rnacentral:rRNA from 1 species
AAUUCCAGCUCCAAUAGCGUAUAUUAAAGUUGUUGCAGUUAAAAAGCUCGUAGUUGGAUUUCUGGUGUCCCCCAAGGUCCCAACUUGGGUGCUGUUGGGGGCUGCCAUCCGUGGGUGGAACCUGUGUGGCAUUAGGUUGUCGUGCAGGGGAUGCCCACCGUUUACUNUGAAAAAAUCAGCGCGUUCAAAGCAGGCUUAUGCCGUUGAAUGUAUUAGCAUGGAAUAAUAAGAUAGGACCUGGGUACUAUUUUGUUGGUUUGCGCACCGAGGUAAUGAUUAAGAGGGACAGUUGGGGGUCUUCGUAUUCCAUUGUCAGAGGUGAAAUUCUUGGAUUUCUGGAAGACGAACUACUGCGAAAGCAUUGACCAAGGAUGUUUUCAUUAAUCAAGAACGAAAGUAAGGGGAUCGAAGAUGAUUAGAUACCAUCGUAGUCUUA